rnacentral:rRNA from 1 species
CGCCGCCUGGGAAGUACGGCCGCAAGGCUAAAACCCAAAGGAAUAGACGGGGACCCACACAAGCGGUGGAACAUGGGGUUUAAUUCGAUGGUAAACGAAGAACCUCACCCAGGCUUGACAUCUAGGGAAUCUGGCAGAAAUGUCGGAGUGCCGCAAGGAACCCUAAGACAGGCGAUGCACGGUCGUCGUCAGCUCGUGCCUUGAGGUGUACUGUUAAGUCAGCGAACGAGCGCAACCCUCAUCCUCUGUUGUUCUUUCAGAGGAGACUGCCGCCUCCAAGGCGGAGGAAGGUGGGGAUGACGUCAGAUCAGCGUGUCCUUUAUGCCUGGGGCUACACCCAUGUUACAAUGGCCGAUACAGAGGGCAGCGAACCCGCAAGGGAGAGCAAAUCCCAUCAAAGUCGGUCUCAGUUCGGAUUGAAGGCUGCAACUCGCCUUCAUGAAGUUGGAAUCGCUAGUAACCGUAGGUCAGCCACACUACGGUGAAUCCGUUCCUGGGUC